AGUAAAUUCAUUUUUCAGUUUUUAAUACAAUGUUUUGACUCUUUAUCUUAUUUAAAAUUUUUCGCAAUUAAUAUUUUUAUUAUUAGAUGGUAAAACAUGAAUUGUACUUUAUGUAUGACUAAUUUUUUAAAAAGUUUUUAUACAAAAUUUUCAAAUAAAAUGAAUGGUCAAACGUUAGAGCACAGAAAUCGAAAAAUAAAGUUAUU
rnacentral:pre_miRNA from 1 species